rnacentral:rRNA from 1 species
AAAUCAUCAUGCCCUUAUGACCUCGGGCUUACACACGGUACUACAAUGGCGCAUACAACGAGCUGCAAGAUGGUGACAUCAAGCGAAUCUCUUAAAAUGCGUCUCAGUUCGGAUUGGAGUCUGCAACUCGACUCCAUGAAGUCGGAAUCGCUAGUAAUCGCGGAUCAGCAUGCCGCGGUGAAUACCGGUUCUCGGGUUU